rnacentral:rRNA from 1 species
AGGACGAACGCUGGCGGCGUGCUUAACACAUGCAAGUCGAGCGGAAAGGCCCUUCGGGGUACUCGAGCGGCGAACGGGUGAGUAACACGUGAGUAAUCUGCCCCUAGCUCUGGGAUAGCUCCGGGAAACCGGGAUUAAUACCGGAUACGACCACUUUAGACAUCUGUUGUGGUGGAAAGAAUUUUGGCUAGGGAUGAGCUCGCGGCCUAUCAGCUUGUUGGUGGGGUAACGGCCUACCAAGGCGACGACGGGUAGCCGGCCUGAGAGGGCGACCGGCCACACUGGGACUGAGACACGGCCCAGACUCCUACGGGAGGCAGCAGUGGGGAAUAUUGCGCAAUGGGCGAAAGCCUGACGCAGCGACGCCGCGUGGGGGAUGAAGGCCUUCGGGUUGUAAACCCCUUUCAGCAGGGACGAUUGUGACGGUACCUGCAGAAGAAGCACCGGCCAACUACGUGCCAGCAGCCGC